GACGAACGCUGGCGGCGUGCCUAACACAUGCAAGUCGAACGAGGUCCAGCGAGUAGCAAUACUCGGGAAGACCUAGUGGCGAACGGGUGAGUAACACGUGAGGAACCUGCCCCGAAGACCGGGAUAACGCUCCGAAAGGAACGCUAAUACCGGAUGCCUUCACCAAGCCGCAUGACUUGGUGAAGAAAUGGAUUCCGCUUCGGGAGGGCCUCGCGGCCUAUCAGCUUGUUGGUGGGGUAAUGGCCCACCAAGGCUUCGACGGGUAGCUGGUCUGAGA
rnacentral:rRNA from 1 species